UACGGAGGGCGCUAGCGUUGUUCGGAAUUACUGGGCGUAAAGCGCACGUAGGCGGCUUUGUAAGUUAGAGGUGAAAGCCCGGGGCUCAACCCCGGAAUUGCCUUUAAGACUGCAUCGCUUGAAUCCAGGAGAGGUGAGUGGAAUUCCGAGUGUAGAGGUGAAAUUCGUAGAUAUUCGGAAGAACACCAGUGGCGAAGGCGGCUCACUGGACUGGUAUUGACGCUGAGGUGCGAAAGCGUGGGGAGCAAACGGG
rnacentral:rRNA from 1 species